UACGUAGGGUGCGAGCGUUAAUCGGAAUUACUGGGCGUAAAGCGUGCGCAGGCGGUUUUGUAAGACAGAUGUGAAAUCCCCGGGCUUAACCUGGGAACUGCAUUUGUGACUGCAAGACUAGAGUACGGCAGAGGGGGGUAGAAUUCCACGUGUAGCAGUGAAAUGCGUAGAUAUGUGGAGGAAUACCGAUGGCGAAGGCGCCUUGCUGGGAAGUCACUGACGCUGAGGCGCGAAAGCGUGGGGAGCAAACAGG
rnacentral:rRNA from 1 species